UAAAUCAGCAUAGACAAGCGACAAAUAACGAAGUUGCUUAAAAAAAUCAGUUAACGGGAAUAUUAUUUAAAUCUGUGAUGGCAAUAACGGGUAUAUCGCGUGAAUGAUUACGCCGCGCCGGCUGAGUGGGGGAUCACCGCGGAGCAAUGGGCAGCGUUACUAUCGCAGCCGACGCUACCACCAGUGGCAUCAGCAACGCCAUCAACGCCACCACCACCAUAGCCAGCAUCCCCAUCGCGACGACCGCCGCCACCACUGGCAGCGUGGCCGGCGGAUAACCUCCGUUUGUAAUAUUAUUUCAGGGACACGAAUAGAGGAUGGUAAUGUUCCAUGGAUGCGACGAUCCAUCCCCAAGGUCGUCCCUGAAACCAUGCACAGCGUCAUGCAAAC
rnacentral:misc_RNA from 1 species